GAUGAACGCUGGCGGCGUGCCUAAUACAUGCAAGUCGAGCGAACAGAUGAGGAGCUUGCUCCUCUGACGUUAGCGGCGGACGGGUGAGUAACACGUGGAUAACCUACCUAUAAGACUGGGAUAACUUCGGGAAACCGGAGCUAAUACCGGAUAAUAUAUUGAACCGCAUGGUUCAAUAGUGAAAGACGGUUUUGCUGUCACUUAUAGAUGGAUCCGCGCCGCAUUAGCUAGUUGGUAAGGUAACGGCUUACCAAGGCAACGAUGCGUAGCCGACCUGAGAGGGUGAUCGGCCACACUGGAACUGAGACACGGUCCAGACUCCUACGGGAGGCAGCAGUAGGGAAUCUUCCGCAAUGGGCGAAAGCCUGACGGAGCAACGCCGCGUGAGUGGUGAAGGUCUUCGGAUCGUAAAACUCUGUUAUUAGGGAAGAACAAAUGUGUAAGUAACUAUGCACAUCUUGACGGUACCUAAUCAGAAAGCCACGGCUAACUACGUG
rnacentral:rRNA from 1 species